AUGUCACCAACUAUGAAAACAUCUUCUCCAGGUUCAGAGUGUUUUGAAUCGAUUGUGCCGGAAUCAGAUGAUCAGAUGAAUCAUGAUACACUACCAUCACCUCCAUCCCCAUCUAGCUCGACAAUAUCUCCUGUUUUUCAAUUGCAUGAUGUUAAGGAACCAGAUUCACAUAAAGAGAUCAAACAUGAGACAUAUGAUUAUCUCCCACGAGCAAUAGAAUCAUCUUUGGGAAAACAAUUGCUGGUUCAGAUAGAUGGAAGUUCUGUCUUGCAAAAUCAAUUGAUGUUCCUGCUAGAUGAAAAAGAGUGGGUAAAUGAUGAUUUCUUAAUUGUAGGUGAUCAAUGCAUAUAUAUGUUGUAUAAGGGACCAAAUACAUCUCCAAAAUGA
rnacentral:rRNA from 1 species